rnacentral:rRNA from 1 species
CCUACGGGCGGCAGCAGUGGGGAAUAUUGGACAAUGGGGGCAACCCUGAUCCAGCCAUGCCGCGUGUGUGAAGAAGGCCCUCGGGUUGUAAAGCACUUUCAGUGAGGAAGAACGCCUGGUGGUUAAUACCCAUCAGGAAAGACAUCACUCACAGAAGAAGCACCGGCUAACUCCGUGCCAGCAGCCGCGGUAAUACGGAGGGUGCGAGCGUUAAUCGGAAUUACUGGGCGUAAAGCGCGCGUAGGUGGCUUGAUAAGCCGGUUGUGAAAGCCCCGGGCUCAACCUGGGAACGGCAUCCGGAACUGUCAAGCUAGAGUGCAGGAGAGGAAGGUAGAAUUCCCGGUGUAGCGGUGAAAUGCGUAGAGAUCGGGAGGAAUACCAGUGGCGAAGGCGGCCUUCUGGACUGAAACUGACACUGAGGUGCGAAAGCGUGGGUAGCAAACAGGAUUAGAUACCCCUGUAGUC